rnacentral:lncRNA from 1 species
CAGCCGCUGCCUGGUAAACCCAGGGCAGCAGGACCAUGGCAAACCCUGGUCCCCUGAGGGGACAGCUAGCCAGAGGGGUCCAGGGGGGCCGGGGAGGGCCGGGGGACAGCCGCAAGUGGCCCCCAAGAGCCACAAGUGGCGCCCAACGUGGGGAGUCGCGCCGGUUUGAGCGGCUGCACCGAGCUGCCGUGAGCAGCCCGCCAGCUAAAAGCUUUUCCGGACGCUUUGCUAUCUGAGUACCACGAGCAACAGAACCACGAGCGGUGUGAAAAAGCCACCGCACAAGCUGUCAGCUUUGCGGGGAGAAGCUUUCGGACCGCGCUGGUGGUGCGGGCAUUCGCCUUGCCACACAGCCCGGCAGGACUGCUGCGCGGAGACAGAGGCGCCGAUUUCUGUCUGGUGAGGUUUUUGGGGAUGCGGACAGCACCUUCCUAACACCCGGAAGACUGUUUGCGGAGACAGGGACCAUUGCUGCAGUGUGUUUUCUGAAGAACGGCGGUGGCAGUCUGUUACAGAGCCAUUCAUGGAUUUUGUUGAUCGAGUGAAAGCUUUGGUCGAGAAAAGGGUGCAAAAUCCAGAGAUCCAAGAUCAGCUCACACUAGAAAUUGUCACCACAAAUGCAAAUGAAGCCUGUCAGCGAGUCAUCCUGGCCCUUCCAGCAGCGCCUCCACCCACACUUGAUCAGCUUAUUGAGGAAUGCACGAGGAAAGCCACACUAAUGACAGAAGACUUGGUGAUAAAACCACGGGAAAAGGUCAUUGCAGAAGCAACAGCAACCCUGAAAAUACCAAGGGCUGCAAGGCCUCCUGCACCCGAACGCCGAUGCUAUUUCUGUAACCAAGAGGGACAUCUCAUAGGCCAGUGUCCCGUUUGGGGGACAGUGCCUUCACAAGGGGGGAAAGUGGGAGUGGGGGAAAUCUCCAACCAGCAAAAAACUGAUUGGGGAACGCGGUCCUGGGAUGGGCCAGGGCAUUGUAGCCAGAGCUGCUGUUCACCACAUUGUACGUAGUGUCAGCAGCCAAGCUUACACCACUGACAAGACUGAACCUUACCGAUUGAGACUCACUAAACCUGUUCAUUUUUCUAAUCAGGACUGGCAUUUCAUCACAGCAACAGCAGAGCUGCUGCCCCACAUUCGGGACUGUGAAACUCGCAGACGGAAAGAUCUACUAAACUGCAAGUACCUUGUCAUUGGGGACAUGAAGUACACUCCAAUGGAGAUAGAAAUCCCUCCUGGCAUAGUUUCACUUGAUUCCAGGACCUUCUAUCUCAUGGCACACUGUGUCCACCCCUCUCUCUUCCUGGCGGAGGGACAGAUCAUUGCGCAGGCCAUUCCAGUGCCUCAUCUUUUGUGUGAUGAUCAGGCCCUCUCAGUCUUUUACACCGAGACGCUGGGAGAGGAGAAACCCCUUGUGUGGUGUGGCCUCCAGAGUGGGGGGCAUUCUGUUCUCCUUCAGGGGAUGAUGGACACAGGGGCAGAUGUGACAGUCAUUCUCCCUCACAAAUGGCCAAAGCAAUGGGAGUUGGAAAAUGUAGGCCACCCAGUUGUAGGUGUGGGAAAUCCAAAAGUGGCACAACAGUCCAAAAAUGUGGUCCAAAUCAAGGGGCCAAAUGGGCAAUUAGCAUCUCUACGCCCAUUUGUUCUGGAUUCAAAAUUCACCCUCUGGGGGAGAGACACCAUGUCCCAAUGGGGGGCAAAGUUAGAACUACCAGGCCCCCAGGAUUUUUAGGUGUGGCCACUGAGGAGCGCCCUACCCAAAAACUUAAGUGGCUCACAGAUACACGUGUCUGGGUAGACCAGUGGCCGCUGACCACAGAAAAGACGAGAGUGCUCACUCAAAUUGUAGAAGAGGAAUUGGCAAAGGGACAUAUAGUAGAAACCCAGAGCCCUUGGAAUUCUCUGGUGUUCGUUAUUAAGAAACCGGGGAAGGACAAGUGGCGGCUCCUCCACAAUCUGAGAAAAAUUAAUAAUGUCAUUGAGGACAUGGGAUCUCUUCAACCCCAUAGAUGGGGAUGCCUUCCCCAUCUAUGCUCCCCCAAAAUUGGAAAUUGGCAGUUCCUGAUAUCAAGGACUGCUUCUUUCAAAUUCCCCUACACCCAUGCUUUGCCUUAUUUGAGCCCUCUCUUGAUAGAGCGGCUCCCAUGAAACACUACAUUGGACAGUUCUUCCUCAGGGUCUCAAACGCUCUCCCACCAUCUGCCAGUGGUAUGUGGCCAGAGUUCUGUCCCCAGUCCGUGUCAAGUGGAAAGAUUGCAUUUUGUAUCAUUACAUGGAUGAUGUCCUUGUCUGUGCCAACAGUGACAAUGUACUUGCAGAGGCGUUAGAGGACACUAUCACAGCCUUGUCGGUGGUUGGAUUUGAAUUGCAGAAGGAAAAGGUGCAACACCUGCCUCCUUGAGUAUCUGGGCCUUGAAAUUGGUAACAGAACCAUCACACCCCAGAGACCAAUGAUAAAUGAUGAUCCAAAAACAAUAUGGGACCUCCACCAGCUUUGUGGGUCUCUAAAUUGGAUCAGACCCUGGCUGGGGCUCACCACAGGAGAGCUGUCCCCCAUCUUCAAUUUAUUGGUGGGGGGGAAGAGUUAGACUCCCUGAGGGCCCUAACCCAGGAGGCCAGGGCUGCUUUGGAGAAAAUCCAGUCCACCUUGGUGGACAGACAGGCCCACAGGUGUCGUGAGGGCUUGCCCUUCCGAUUCAUCAUCCUUGGUAAGUUGCCACACCUCCAUGGGUUGAUCUUUCAAUGGGACACAGACCAACGGGAUCCCCUCUUAAUUAUAGAGUGGGUGUUCCUUGGUCAUCAGUUGUCCAAAAGUAUCACCAAGCCACAAGAGUUGAUGGCCCAGCUGAUCAUGAGAACCAGAGCUCACUUGCAGGUGUUUGUAGGGUGUGACUUCGCAUGCAUUCAUCUCCCUAUCAGAAUAUCCACAGGGAGACUCUCUAAGGAAAUACUUGAGCACCAGUUUCAGACCAAUGAAAACUUGCAAUUCUCCCUAGACAGUUUCACUGGAAAAAUUCUCAUCAACCAUCCAGGCCACAGAUUGUUUGAAACACAGUUUCAUUUGAUUCCAAAAAGUAUCCAGAGCAGUGAACCACUGAAAGCACUGACAGUUUUCACAGACGGGUCGGGAGGGUCCCACAAAUCUGUGAUCACAUGGAAAGACCCCCAGACUCAGCAGUGGGAAGCUGAUGUAAAGGUUGUGG